GAGACUGCCACUGUGUUUCCACUUUGCUCAUCUUGUAUGGAUUUAUGAAAAGAUAGUAUUUUACUUAAAUCACUUUUUCCUCAUCUGAAUAGAAAACCGUCGCAUGGAGUGAUGGACAUGGCUACAUCAGACCAUAAUAUGUUUGUCAUUUCAUUGAGCUGUGGACAUGUUGAUAUUUAUGAAAAUAAAAAACAGAAUCUUCAGCAAACAUGUUGCUCACAACCUUUCCUCAAACCAAAAAUGACUCUACACAAGGUCAUUGAGAUGUGCAUACGGUGUUGCUUUCUGAGGUUAUCAAAGGUACACAUCACAGAGAAUGAAUGUUUUAUAACCGGGUAGACCAGUUCUGUCAGGGUUGUUGUUGGCACGAUGAUACAGUUUGGCAGUAAAUGACUGUUUGUCCUGGGGGUGGGAAGGGAGUUAAACAGGAACUGACUGCUUUUAUUAUCCUUUCUUGGCAGAGGCAAUAUGAUUUCCAAGUGACAGCUUCCCAGGUGAGCUUGCCCCUGUGGCCUCUUAUAACAAAGUACUCAUAAAAGCUACUCAACAACAAUACAUACUGAGUAAAUGUAAUUAAUUACUUUACAGCCCUGAUCUUGUCUCAUAAUGAACAAUUGUGACUUUAAAACCCCUUAGUGCAGCACUAUGGCUCUCUGUAAUGUCAUAGCAAUGUUGUUAUGAUGUAGUUCAGCAUUUUCAGCAAGUGAAUAGGGUCACCAGCGACCCCAGCUGCAGUAAGAGGCUACAGUCUGUAUGUGAUGUGCAGAAACAGGAUGUGGUGCAGAAUGUGUUUCCUCUCUGCAAGUGAAAUGUGGAACAGAAAUAUGAGCUGUUUUUUGCAUGCAUAUUCAGCUGGUGUCACCUGGUGUCAUUGCUAACAUAUUCUUUUUCCCACACAGCCUUUAAAGCCUGAAGUGGUGACAGCUGUGACAGAGGAGCAAGAGGGCGGGCGAGGGAGGGAGGAGAGGGGGAGAAGGAAGGAGAGGAAAGGGUUAAG